UAUGGAUCUCAGAUUAAGUAAGACUACCCGCUGAAUUUAAGCAUAUAAUUAAGCGGAGGAAAAGAAACUAACAAGGAUUCCCCUAGUAACGGCGAGUGAAGCGGGAAGAGCUCACCAUGUGAAUCUGCGUAACCUUCGGGUGCGCCGAAUUGUGGUCUGGAGAAGUAUUGUCGGCCGAAUUUCCGGGCCAAGUCUCUUGGAAAAGGGCAGCUGAGAGGGUGAAACUCCCGUUCUUGCCUGGGAUUAUUGACGUGUCAUAGCAUGCGCCUUCUACGAGUCGAGUUGCUUGGGAUUGCAGCUCAAAGCGGGUGGUAAAUUCCAUCUAAAGCUAAAUAUCGGUGGGAGACCGAUAGCGUACAAGUACCGUGAGGGAAAGAUGCAAAGAACUUUGAAAAGAGAGCUAAAGAGUACCUGAAAUUGCUGAAAGGGAAGCGAAGGAAACCAGUGUCGUGCGCGAUUAUAUUUCUCCUGCUGCUUGCGGUAGGGGCGCUGUGGUCGUGCGUGGGCCAGCAUCGGUUUGGUAGCUCGGGGCAGAUGGCAGUGCGGGAGGUAGUCUGUUGCUUGCGGCAGAUGUUUAACCGUGCUGUUUCGUUUUCCUGGGUGAGACCGAGGUCAGUCUAGCAAUAGCUCGUGAUGCUGGCGAAAUGGUUUUCUUUACCCCGUCUUGAAACACGGACCAAGGAGUCUAA
rnacentral:rRNA from 1 species